rnacentral:lncRNA from 1 species
UCAUAACAUAGCAUUGGACUACCCACGAUGGCAAUUGGUGGUAAGGGCAUGGCAAUGGUAUCCUAUACUACUAGGAGAAUCAUAGUUAGCAUAGGUACAAUAAUAAUCCUAACAAUGCAACUAAUAAAAUCUAGUGCAUAAUAAAAUAAUAGGAUGAUGGUCAAAGUGAACUUGCCUUGAUAGUAGUUGGAAUUCAAGCACUCUUCGCAAUCACACAGUUCGCUCUCCGAGAAAACUAAACGAAACAAACAACCCAUACAUAAACAUACAAUACAAGAAAAAAGAAAAAUAUAUGCCACGAUGC